rnacentral:rRNA from 1 species
AUUGAACGCUGGCGGCAGGCCUAACACAUGCAAGUCGAGCGGAUGAAGGGAGCUUGCUCCUGGAUUCAGCGGCGGACGGGUGAGUAAUGCCUAUGAAUCUGCCUGGUAUUGGGGGAUAACGUCCUGAAACGGGCGCUAAUACCGCAUACGUCCUGAGGGAGAAAGUUGGGGAUCUUCGGACCUCACGCUAUCAGAUGAGCCUAGGUCGGAUUAGCUAGUUGGUGGGGUAAAGGCCUACCAAGGCGACGAUCCGUAACUGGUCUGAGAGGCUGAUCAGUCACACGGGAACUGAGACGCGGUCAAGACUACUAAGAGAGGCAGCAGUGGGGAAUAGUGGACAAUGGGCGAAAGCAUGAUCCAGCCAUGCCGAGUGUGUGAAGAAGGUCUUCGGAUUGUAAAGCACUUUAAGUUGGGAGGAAGGGCAGUCAGUUAAUACCUUGCUGUUUUGACGUUACUAACAGAAUAAGCACCGGCUAACUUCGUG